CCUACGGGAGGCAGCAGUGAGGAAUAUUGGUCAAUGGGCGGAAGCCUGAACCAGCCAUGCCGCGUGCAGGAUGACGGCCCUACGGGUUGUAAACUGCUUUUGCACGGGAAGAAUAACCCCCUCGUGAGGGGGGAUGCCGGUACCGUGCGAAUAAGGAUCGGCUAACUCCGUGCCAGCAGCCGCGGUAAUACGGAGGAUCCGAGCGUUAUCCGGAUUUACUGGGUUUAAGGGUGCGUAGGCGGGCGCCUAAGUCAGCGGUGAAAGGCAGCGGCUCAACCGUUGAACUGCCGUUGAAACUGGGCGCCUUGGAUUCGGUCGGGGCCGGCGGAAUGCGUGGUGUAGCGGUGAAAUGCUUAGAUAUCACGCGGAACGCCGAUCGCGAAGGCAGCUGGCCAGGCCGAGAUCGACGCUGAGGCACGAAAGCGUGGGGAUCAAACA
rnacentral:rRNA from 1 species